AUUGAACGCUGGCGGCAGGCCUAACACAUGCAAGUCGAGCGGAUGAAGGGAGCUUGCUCCUGUAUUCAGCUGCGGACGGGUGAGUAAUGCCUAGGAAUCUGCCUGGUCGUGGGGGAUAACGUCCGUUAACGGGCGCUAAUCCCGCAUACGUCCUGAUGUAGAACGUCGUGGAUCUUCGGACCUCACGCUAUUAGCUGACCCUAGGGCGGAUUAGCUAGUUGGUGGGGUAAAGGCCUACCAAGGCGACGUUCCGUAACUGGUCUGCGAGGAGGAUCAGUCACAAUGGAAAUGGGACAAGGGCCAGAAUCCUAAGGGAGGCAGCAGUGGGGAAUAUUGGACAAAGGGCGAAAGCCUGAACCAGCCAAGGCGCGUGUGUGAAGAAGGGCUUCGGAUUGGAAAGAACUUUUAGUUGGGAGGAAAGGAAGUAAGAUAAAACCAUGCUGUUUUGAAGGGACCAACAGAAGAAGCACAGGCUAAAUUAGUG
rnacentral:rRNA from 1 species